rnacentral:tRNA from 1 species
GGCGGAGGUCGGCGACGCGGGCGGCGGCGGCCUCCUCGUAGCGGCGGACGCGGGCGAGCAGGAGCUCGCGUUCGGCCGGUUCGAGUUCGUCGUCCGUGCC